rnacentral:rRNA from 1 species
UACAGAGGGUGCGAGCGUUGUCCGGAAUCACUGGGCGUAAAGGGCGCGUAGGCGGCUUGGUAAGUAGGGGGUGAAAUCUUGCGGCUCAACUGCAAGGCUGCCUCCUAAACUGUCAGGCUUGAGCACAGUAGAGGCAGGUGGAAUUCCCGGUGUAGCGGUGGAAUGCGUAGAGAUCGGGAAGAACACCGGUGGCGAAGGCGGCCUGCUGGGCAGUGGCUGACACUGAGGCGCGACAGCGUGGGGAGCAAACAGG